AUUGAACGCUGGCGGCAGGCCUAACACAUGCAAGUCGAGCGAGUGGCGGACGGGUGAGUAAUGUAUGGGGAACUGCCCGAUAGAGGGGGAUAACUACUGGAAACGGUAGCUAAUACCGCAUACCAUCAGAUGUACCCAGAUGGGAUUAGCUUGUUGGUGGGGUAAAGGCUCACCUAGGCGACGAUCCCUAGCUGGUCUGAGAGGAUGACCCGCCACACUGGAACGGAGACACGGUCCAGACGCCUACGGGAGGCAGCAGUGGGGAAUAUUGCACAAUGGGCGCAAGCCUGAUGCAGCCAUGCCGCGUGUAUGAAGAAGGCCUUCGGGUUGUAAAGUACUUUCAGCGGGGAGGCGUUACCCGCAGAAGAAGCACCGGCUAACUCCGGGCCAGCAGCCGCGGUAAUAC
rnacentral:rRNA from 1 species